GCCAGGCAUGGUGGCGCACACCUGUAAUCCCAGCACUCGGGAGGCUGAGGCAGGAGGAUCGCUGUAAGUUCGAGACCAGCCUGGGCUACAUAGUGAGUUCCAGGUCAGUCUGAACUACAUAGUGAGACCCUGUCUCAAAAAACCAAAAAAUAAAAUAAAGACAGGGUCUGGCUACGUAGUCCAGGCUGGCCUUGAAGUCACUAUGUAGCUCAGGCUGGCCUUGAACUCAUGGUGAUCCUCCUGCCUCG
rnacentral:sRNA from 1 species